CCGGCGCUGUCCUCAGAACCACAGAACUAGAUUGGAGAUGCUUUGCUCUAGUCGAGGUACUGCACAUUUCAACAAUUCAUGUGAUCACUUGAUCCAUACUCAGGGUAAGGCAGGUUCUGAGUGUUUUUGUGGGCAAAUCGCAGCAGGUUCAGGGCGAAGGAGCAGGGGGCUCCUUUCAGUUUACACAAAGCACAGCUACUGCUACAGGCCGAUGACACCUGUUUCAAGCAUUUUGCCAUUCUGUUUUGUGCAGGGACAACCAGUCCAGCUUCCCGAGAUCCCCCCUUCUCUUCCACGUACGCAAUCCCUCCGGCACAAACGAGCUCUUAGCCAAAAAAAAGGGCCAGGGUAGAUUGGGACUAUAAGAAACAGUGUGCCAAUUUCAGGGAUUUCAAGAUCAAGGUUCAGUGCAGACUCCAAGUGUGAAUUUAAGGUUUACUUUAGACUUUUCUCUCAGGAAAAUCAUACUAGGUCUAUCUGUUCUGUUGUUGUAACAUUCAGAAGAAAAGUUUGGUGCUGAGCUCAGUCUAAAAGGAGACUAAACCAAUAGAAACAAGGCUUUGUGUAAUACAUAUACUUGCGCCGAGUAUUAAACAACAUGUUAACAAACCAUG
rnacentral:lncRNA from 1 species